UCAUUUUGAUUCGUUUGGACAAGUGAGUUACUACAGCACUUAUUUGGAAAAAUGACUAGAAAGCUACCUCCAAUCUCUCGGCCUCAACCCCAGGCUCCAUUUCUUUCUGUUCCUUCCCGCUCUCGUCUUCCAGCCCUCCUUCCCCCCGUUACUCCUCAAACUUCCUGCCCUCAGCCUCCUCUCCAGAGCCGUCCAUCUUGUUCGAUUUUCCGCCCUACCCGUUUGCCCAAGCUGACUGAUGUCUCCCCUUCCCAGUACCCUACCUCAAGGAACUUUCUGCCCAGCUCUUCCUCUGUUACUACCAGAGCGUCUGUGUGCCACCACCCUGUUCGUCAGGCACCCCUUUCCCAGUGCCCUCCUAUCUUCCCCCCUCGCCCUCCUCAUAGCCCUUCCUGCUAGUUUCCUGUACUCUAGUCCCCACUCCCUAUCCAGCUACCCCCCACCAGACCUGACGACUUACAAAUCUCACCCUGGAGAAAUGGUUUCCCUCCUACUGGGGCAAUUCUCAGGAGGUUCAGAAUUGCCAGGACUGUGGAUUCCCAGCAACGACCUGGCAGACACGGGGAAUCCAAGACCAUGGCAAGCGAAUAUUCAGCCUGGCCUGUGCCUUUCCUCUCCUGCCUGGGCAGCCAGACUGCACAAGCGUCUGCAUUUGAACUGGCUUCUCCGUGGAACUUGGUCUGUAACCACAGAGCAAACUGUAGAACCAGGAGCAGAGAAGGUAGGGGAUUGAAAAGCAUCGAAUCUGUUCUCAAGGAGGGAGGUGAUUGGCCAACGUGA